GCUGGCGGCGUGCCUAAUACAUGCAAGUCGAACGAACUCUGGUAUUGAUUGGUGCUUGCAUCAUGAUUUACAUUUGAGUGAGUGGCGAACUGGUGAGUAACACGUGGGAAACCUGCCCAGAAGCGGGGGAUAACACCUGGAAACAGAUGCUAAUACCGCAUAACAACUUGGACCGCAUGGUCCGAGUUUGAAAGAUGGCUUCGGCUAUCACUUUUGGAUGGUCCCGCGGCGUAUUAGCUAGAUGGUGGGGUAACGGCUCACCAUGGCAAUGAUACGUAGCCGACCUGAGAGGGUAAUCGGCCACAUUGGGACUGAGACACGGCCCAAACUCCUACGGGAGGCAGCAGUAGGGAAUCUUCCACAAUGGACGAAAGUCUGAUGGAGCAACGCCGCGUGAGUGAAGAAGGGUUUCGGCUCGUAAAACUCUGUUGUUAAAGAAGAACAUAUCUGAGAGUAACUGUUCAGGUAUUGACGGUAUUUAACCAGAAAGCCACGGCUAACUACGUGCCAGCAGCCGCGGUAAUACGUAGGUGGCAAGCGUUGUCCGGAUUUAUUGGGCGUAAAGCGAGCGCAGGCGGUUUUUUAAGUCUGAUGUGAAAGCCUUCGGCUCAACCGAAGAAGUGCAUCGGAAACUGGGAAACUUGAGUGCAGAAGAGGACAGUGGAACUCCAUGUGUAGCGGUGAAAUGCGUAGAUAUAUGGAAGAACACCAGUGGCGAAGGCGGCUGUCUGGUCUGUAACUGACGCUGAGGCUCGAAAGUAUGGGUAGCAAACAGGAUUAGAUACCCUGGUAGUCCAUACCGUAAACGAUGAAUGCUAAGUGUUGGAGGGUUUCCGCCCUUCAGUGCUGCAGCUAACGCAUUAAGCAUUCCGCCUGGGGAGUACGGCCGCAAGGCUGAAACUCAAAGGAAUUGACGGGGGCCCGCACAAGCGGUGGAGCAUGUGGUUUAAUUCGAAGCUACGCGAAGAACCUUACCAGGUCUUGACAUACUAUGCAAAUCUAAGAGAUUAGACGUUCCCUUCGGGGACAUGGAUACAGGUGGUGCAUGGUUGUCGUCAGCUCGUGUCGUGAGAUGUUGGGUUAAGUCCCGCAACGAGCGCAACCCUUAUUAUCAGUUGCCAGCAUUAAGUUGGGCACUCUGGUGAGACUGCCGGUGACAAACCGGAGGAAGGUGGGGAUGACGUCAAAUCAUCAUGCCCCUUAUGACCUGGGCUACACACGUGCUACAAUGGAUGGUACAACGAGUUGCGAACUCGCGAGAGUAAGCUAAUCUCUUAAAGCCAUUCUCAGUUCGGAUUGUAGGCUGCAACUCGCCUACAUGAAGUCGGAAUCGCUAGUAAUCGCGGAUCAGCAUGCCGCGGUGAAUACGUUCCCGGGCCUUGUACACACCGCCCGUCACACCAUGAGAGUUUGUAACACCCAAAGUCGGUGGGGUAACCUUUUAGGAACCAGCCGCCUAAGGUGGGACAGAUGAUUAGGGUGAAGUCGUAACAAGGUAGCCGUAGGAGAACCUGCGGUUGGAUCACC
rnacentral:rRNA from 3 species